AUUGAACGCUGGCGGCAGGCCUAACACAUGCAAGUCGAGCGGAUGAAGGGAGCUUGCUCCUGGAUUCAGCGGCGGACGGGUGAGUAAUGCCUAGGAAUCUGCCUGGUAGUGGGGGAUAACGUCCGGAAACGGGCGCUAAUACCGCAUACGUCCUGAGGGAGAAAGUGGGGGAUCUUCGGACCUCACGCUAUCAGAUGAGCCUAGGUCGGAUCAGCUAGUUGGUGGGGUAAAGGCCUACCAAGGCGACGAUCCGUAACUGGUCUGAGAGGAUGAUCAGUCACACUGGAACUGAGACACGGUCCAGACUCCUACGGGAGGCAGCAGUGGGGAAUAUUGGACAAUGGGCGAAAGCCUGAUCCAGCCAUGCCGCGUGUGUGAAGAAGGUCUUCGGAUUGUAAAGCACUUUAAGUUGGGAGGAAGGGCAGUAAGUUAAUACCUUGCUGCUUUGACGUUACCAACAGAAUAAGCACCGGCUAACUUCGUG
rnacentral:rRNA from 1 species